AUUGAACGCUGGCGGCAGGCUUAACACAUGCAAGUCGAGCGAGCGGCGGACGGGUGAGUAAUGUCUGGGAACCUGCCUGAUGGAGGGGGAUAACUACUGGAAACGGUAGCUAAUACCGCAUACCAUCAGAUGUGCCCAGAUGGGAGUAGCUAGUAGGUGGGGUAAUGGCCCACCUAGGCGACGCUCCCUAGCUGGUCUGAGAGGAUGACCAGCCACACUGGAACUGAGACACGGUCCAGACUCCGACGGGAGGCAGCAGUGGGGAAUAUUGCACAAUGGGCGAAAGCCUGAUGCAGCCAUGCCGCGUGUGUGAAGAAGGCCUUCGGGUUGUAAAGCACUUUCAGCGAGGAGGCGUUACUCGAAGAAGAAGCACCGGCUAACUCCGUGCCAGCAGCCGCGGUAAUAC
rnacentral:rRNA from 1 species